rnacentral:rRNA from 1 species
UCUUCGGACCCUAGCGGCGGACGGGUGAGUAACACGUAGGCAACCUGCCUGUAAGACUGGGAUAACAUAGGGAAACUUAUGCUAAUACCGGAUAGAGUUUUGCUUCGCAUGAAGCGAAACGGAAAGAUGGCGCAAGCUAUCACUUGCAGAUGGGCCUGCGGCGCAUUAGCUAGUUGGUGAGGUAAAGGCUCACCAAGGCGACGAUGCGUAGCCGACCUGAGAGGGUGACCGGCCACACUGGGACUGAGACACGGCCCAGACUCCUACGGGAGGCAGCAGUAGGGAAUUUUCCACAAUGGACGAAAGUCUGAUGGAGCAACGCCGCGUGAACGAUGAAGGCUUUCGGGUCGUA